rnacentral:rRNA from 1 species
UACGUAGGGUGCGAGCGUUGUCCGGAAUUAUUGGGCGUAAAGAGCUCGUAGGCGGCGUGUCACGUCGGAUGUGAAAGCCCGGGGCUUAACUCUGGGUCUGCAUUCGAUACGGGCGGGCUAGAGUUCGGUAGGGGAGAGCGGAAUUCCUGGUGUAGCGGUGAAAUGCGCAGAUAUCAGGAGGAACACCGGUGGCGAAGGCGGAUCUCUGAGGCGAUACUGACGCUGAGGAGCGAAAGCAUGGGGAGCGAACAGG